AUUCCACACAUUGCCUGGAGUAUGAGGGAAGGAGACGGAACCAAGCUCCAGACUAUACUUUUGAGAUUUCUCAAAAACAUCCUUCUGCCAUGUGAGGACACAACAAGAAGUUUGCAACCUGGAAGAGAGCUCUCACAUGACCAUGCUGGCACCCUGAUCUCAGACUUCCAGCCUCCAGAAUUUUUCACAGCUGGAGAGUGAUUUGCCUACGGAUGAAUGUCUCACCCAGAUCUGUUUUAGAUAAGACUUUGGACUUAGACUUUUGAGUUGAUGCUGAAAGAAGUUAAGACUUUUGGGGUUGCUGAGAUGGAAUGAAAGUAUUCUGCAUGUGAGAAGGACAUGAAUUUUGGAGGGCCAGGGGUGGAACGCUGUUGUCUGAAUGUUUGCGUCCCCACUAAAUUCAUAUGUGGAAAUUCUAACCACCGAAGUCUGAAAAGUGAUUAGAUCAUGAAGUCAGAGCCCUCAUGAACAUGGUAAAUGCCUUUACAAAAGAGGCUCCAGACAGAUCCUUUGUCUCUUCCACCACGUGAGGACACAGCACAAAGGUACCAGCUAUGAACCAGGAAGAGGGCCCUUGCUGACCAUGCUGGCACCUUGACCUUGGACUUUCCAGCUUCCAGAACUGUGAGAAAUAAAUUUCUGUUGUUUAUAAAGCUACUCAGUCUGUGGCAUUUUGUUGCAGCAGCUGAACGGACUAAGACAUAACCAAAAAAGUCUUAAUAGAUAUAACCGAGUUUAAAGUUAAA
rnacentral:lncRNA from 1 species